CGCUUUUCUCCAGACAACACAUCUCAUUGGGAUUCGUUCCAACAUCAGCUCCUUGUGCUGAACUCUAUCGCUGUGUGCUGAGGGCGGGGCGCAGCGCGGCCGUUGUACCGGGCAGGAAGUUGAAGGUGUGUCGUUUUAAAAUCAGAAUAGAUCGCUUCCACCGAACUGGGAAACUGGGGCCGGUUUAAAUCCUGAUUAAUGAUUCACAAACAUUUCCAUUGCAGUUCUUCCUUUGUGAUACAUUGGAAGUACACAUGUAGACUUUAGACCGGUUCAUGCGUUCCAAUAAAAGAGAGCACGAUUGGUUCCAAUCUUAUCUUAUGGUCAAAAGUACAGUUGGGUAUCUUCUCUAUUCUUCUGCAGUCAAAAAGACACUCGCCAACAUCCAAUGUGAAAUAAGCUUGUGCGAGAUGUGGAAGGUUUGCACCUAAAGAGCUUCUGUUCUGUCAGCUGUAAAAACAAUUAUGAACACAGGAAAAUGUUCCCAAGUUGGUUCAUCACGAUGCUCGGAGCGGCGGCCAUUUUUAGAGGCUGAAGAGCAGAAGCUGCUUUGAACAGACAC
ensembl:lncRNA